rnacentral:Y_RNA from 1 species
GGCUGGUCGAUGGUAGUGGGUUAUCAGAACUUAUUAACAUUUAGUGUCACUAAAGUUGAUAUUCAACCCCCACUGAUAAAUUUGACUGGCUUUAA